rnacentral:rRNA from 1 species
GCUCAGGAUGAACGCUGGCGGCGUGCUUAACACAUGCAAGUCGAGCGAAGCACUUAGGAAAGAUUCUUCGGAUGAUUUCCUAUUUGACUGAGCGGCGGACGGGUGAGUAACGCGUGGGUAACCUGCCUCAUACAGGGGGAUAACAGUUAGAAAUGACUGCUAAUACCGCAUAAGACCACAGCACCGCAUGGUGCAGGGGUAAAAACUCCGGUGGUAUGAGAUGGACCCGCGUCUGAUUAGUUAGUUGGUGGGGUAACGGCCUACCAAGGCGACGAUCAGUAGCCGACCUGAGAGGGUGACCGGCCACAUUGGGACUGAGACACGGCCCAAACUCCUACGGGAGGCAGCAGUA